rnacentral:misc_RNA from 1 species
AAGUCGUAACAAGGUUUCCGUAGGUGAACCUGCGGAAGGAUCAUUAACACGUUUCCACGUAUAAAAACUUGUGCUGUUUGUUUUGAUUGGAUUCUGCAUGUUUCUGUGUUACUUACUAGCCAUUCGAAUGGUGUAGACUUUGGUUUACACGUGGUUCAGUAAGUCUUUGCUUCGGCAAUCGCAGUCCAUGCAGGCCAUUUAUUUUAAUGUUCCAUUCGACAUUACCCUUUAUUAUUAACCCAUUGUUUACGCAUUUUGCUAAUUUACGUUUGAGCAGAUCCUUAAUUGGAGCUCUCAAAUUGUUUACGAAAUGUAAGAACAACUCUUAGCAACGGAUAUCUUGGUUCUC